rnacentral:rRNA from 1 species
CACGUAGUUAGCCGGUGCUUAUUCUUCAGGUACCGUCAUCAGCCGCUGAUAUUAGCAACAGCCUUUUCUUCCCUGACAAAAGUCCUUUACAACCCGAAGGCCUUCUUCAGACACGCGGCAUGGCUGGAUCAGGCUUGCGCCCAUUGUCCAAAAUUCCCCACUGCUGCCUCCCGUAGGAGUCUGGGCCGUGUCUCAGUCCCAGUGUGGCGGAUCAUCCUCUCAGACCCGCUACUGAUCGUCGCCUUGGUAGGCCUUUACCCCACCAACUAGCUAAUCAGAUAUCGGCCGCUCGAAUAGCGCAAGGCCCGAAGGUCCCCUGCUUUCCCUCUCAAGACGUAUGCGGUAUUAGCUAAUCUUUCGAUCAGUUAUCCCCCACUACUCGGUACGUUCCGAUAUGUUACUCACCCGUUCGCCACUCGCCACCCAAGAAGCAAGCUUCUCUGUGCUGCCGUCCGACUUGCAUGUGUAAAGCAUGCCGCCAGCGUUCAA